ensembl:lncRNA
GUACCGGUGCGUACCGGCCCGCUUCAAGCACUGCUAGUUAUGCUAAGGGACUAAAUAACGGACUUUUUAGGUAUCGUCUCUGGAGGAUAACGUUUGCCAGCUGAAGCUUGCCCUUCAAGAGGAGCAGCAGAAGACUAGGCAGCUGUCUAUGACCAUGCAGAUGGAAAUUGACCAGGCCAAAGCUUUGGUCCAGUCACAGGAAGUCCAGCUUCAGCGGGAUGCAGAAGAGCAGAGGAGGAUGUUUGAGGAGCUGCAGGGCAUCCAGAACAUCCUCAGCACCACCAAACAAGAGCUGCUGUCCCAGAGGAGAAACAACACACAACUGCAAAACAGCAUCACUGACACCGAGCAGGAAAACCUCAGGCUCCAACAAAACAUUGAAGACUUGAGGAACAGACUAACCAGCUAUCAACAGGAGACCGACUCUCUGAGGACAGAACUUCAGCUAGCUCUAGUCAGAGUGGACGCUGAGAGAAGUAAAUACAACGACAAGCGAAUCCACUACAAAAACAAGCUGAGCCGGGCCAGAGGGGUUUACCUGAGAGAGACGGGGUGGCGUGACGAAAAAAUAAAAGACCUGGAGAAAGAGGUUUUUAUUGUGGGGAAACAGGAGGAAAAGACGGCACAGAUGAUGAAGACGGUCACAUCUGAAAAUGAGAGUCUGCUUCAGAAGAACAGAGAGCUUCUUUUACAGCUGCAUGACUUUGAAGAGGCACAGAAAAAUGCUUCGGAUGUGAUUUCCACCAUGCAGAUGAGGAUAAAUUUGCUUGAAGAAGAAAAUAUUCAGCUGAAGCAGACAACAGCACAAAUGUCGGAGCGCAUGGAAUGCCUGAUGAUACUGGCCGAGACGAACUGCGAUGCAAGUACAAUCCUUGAACAAGAAGUCACUGCCGAGAGUCGUGUCAUAGAGGGCGAAGACCAAACUACUCUUCCUACAUAAAUAUCUUCAGUUUUCUUUCCAGUGUAAAUUAAAUUAUUUUUGUAAACCUAAAUAUUUCUAAAUAAAGGUCUCAUCCCAUU